GUAAGUGUUAGGAACUGAACCCAGGUUCUUUGUAAGAACAAGCGCUCUUAACCUCUGGGCCAUCUCUCCAGGCCUCUUAAAUACACUUAAAAAAAAGAUUUAUUUAUUUAUUUAUUUAUUUAUUUAUUUAUUUAUUUAUUUAUUUAUUUAAUGUAUGUGAGUACACUGUAACUGUACAGAUGGUUGUGAGCCUUCAUGUGGUUGUUGGGAAUUGAAUUUUUAGGACCUUUGCUUGCUCUGGUCGGCCCUGCUCUCUCAGUUCCUGCUUGCCCAAAGAUUUAUUUAUUAUUAUAGAUAAGUACAUUAUAGCUGACUUCAGAUGCACCAGAAGAGGACCUUAGAUCUCAUAUGAAUGGUUGUGAGCCACCAUAUGGUUUCUGGGAUUUGAACUCAGGACCUUUGGAAGAGCAGUCAGUGCUCUUACCCUCUGAGCCAUCUCGCUAUCCCCUUAAAUACACUUUUAACUGAAGAGUAAAUACACACAGAAAAUGCUCCAAUCCUGCCACCUCUCCUGUGUGAACGGAACAAUACCUCCAGCCCAAGGCUCCUGUGUGCUCCGCCAGUCCCAUCCCAAGGGCAGCCACUGUCUCGGCCUCUGCCACCACAGAUGAGUUUCAUCUAUUUUUGAACUUUGUCAAUGGAAUCUUGUAGUACAGGCUAUUUUUAUGUCUGGCUUCUGUUCACUCGUGUUGUGGAGGAUAGAACACUUUGCCCAGCCUCUUGCUGUACUGUGUUCUAUGACUGUCACUGCUAGGGAACGAGGACUGCCUGUGUUUAAUAUUGGAGGUGACUGCUGAACAUGUGUCACUGGUUUUACAUGGGGGGGCUCACUGCUUUUAUGAUAACCUGAAACUUCAGGUGAUAUCGCUAGAAUGGUUUAAAUUAUCAGAGAGGGAACCUGUGAACCCAUUUCUUCAUUCUUUCCUCCUUUGUUGAUAUUGAAUUUGCCAUGUAGCUCGGGAUGACCUUAAACUCUUGAUCCUCCUGCCUCAACCUUCUUAUUGCCACUAUACCCAAGUGAUUCGGUGCCGAGGAUCUAACCCAGAGCUGUGUGUAUACUAGGUGUUUUGUCUGCAUGUAUGUCAGUGCUCCACAGGCAUGCUUGGUGCCUACGGAGGCCAGAAGAGGACAUCAGGUCCCCUGUGAGUUACAGAUAGCUGCGAGCUGCCACGUGGGUACUUAGAAUUGAACUCAGGUUCCCUGGAAGAACAGCCAAUGCUGUUGACUUGGUGUGCUGUGUUGGAUCUCUGGCUUCGAUCUCCUGGACUCAGGUCUUGCCUCACCACCUGUCUUUCCUCAGUCCAUGAGUGUUGCCUUAGCAAAACUCCACGUGCGUCUUUAUCUGACAUCGUUCUAUCGGUCAGAGUCUUUGGAAGAGGCAAGAAGCCGCAGGAAUCUCUCCAUUUAUUUCUCUCUAUGAGUCUUGACCAUUGGAGCUCAACAACGCAUGUAAAGUGAACCAAUACAUGUGUGUCAUUAUCGAAGAAUCCUUCAUCAUGUGUCCUUUCAUGUGCUUGCUUUAGCAAAACAUUCUUCCACCUGUGUCUGCUUCAGCGAAACGUUCCUUCACAUGUCUGACUCCACCCAACACAACUGACUUUCCAAAGAACUGUUAAGUUUCCACUUCCCAGGGUGGGGGUACAUGCAUGAUGUGUAUGGAGGUCAAAGGACAACUUGUGGGAGUUGGUUCCGUCUUUUCACAGUGUAAGCUAAGGAAGCGCCGGUCAUCGGUCAUUGGCUUGGCAGCAAACACACUGAGAUAGCUCUUUCUAGCCCAACCCUCAGCUUUUCUUUCCUCCUCCCCUUCCUUCCUCCUCCUCCUCCUCUCUUCUUUGUCUUCUCCUUUCUCCCAUCUCAGGCUUGGAGAUAGAAGUUUCUGAUCUGGAUCUUGGUAUGGAGAUCUUAAGGCUUAGUGGCUAUGGAUUCCAGAAGAUUAAAUCUCCGAGUUCAAGGUCAUCUGGAUUGAAAGGUGUGGUGGAGCACACCUUUAAUCUGGGCUACACCUUCUGCUGGAGACAAUAUAAGGACAUUGGAAGAAGGGAGUCUUGCUCUUGCUCCUUCCCCUGCUUGCCGUGUGAGAUUGAGUAACUGCUAGAUCCUUGGACUUCCAUUAACAGCUACUACUGAACCAUUGUUGGGAAUUGGGCUGCCGACUGUAAGUCAUCAAUAAACUCCUUUACUAUAUAGAGACUACCCAUAAGUUCUGUGACUCUAGAGAACCCUGACUAAUACAGAUGGACUCUCAGUAUCUCACCUAUAGAGUUUAGGUUUUCCUCAACUCAUCCUGCCUCAGCCACUUAAAUGCUGAGAUUAUAGGUUUGAGCCACGAUCCGAUUCCAGGUGCCAGGAAGGAUUUUCUAAUAGACAUUAUAGUAGACCUAGCUUAGUUUUCUUAACUCCAUAUGGACAGCUUGUUUGAAUAUCCUAUUAAACACACACACACACACACACACACACACACACACACACACACACAAAGAGAGUACAGGCACUUGCUGCCAACCCCCCCCCCACACACACACACAGAGUACAGGCACUUGCUGCCAA
rnacentral:lncRNA from 1 species